GGCUUCGGCCUGACCAAAAUUCAAGCUGCUAUACCUCUGGCUGCAUUGACUUGUGGUCAGAGUGUAUGGUGAUCAUAGCAAUUGCAAGUAUUGGGCUCGAUAAAUCCUUUGAAGACGACUUAAUUGCAUCCGGGUAUUGUAAGUGUUGAGAGUAGGCUUAGUCUUACGAUCCACUGAGAUUCAUCCCGUGUUGCGCCGAUUUGU
rnacentral:ncRNA from 1 species